rnacentral:lncRNA from 1 species
UCGGGGCAUAAUAGAAUAAUAUUAUUAGGUUUUACUCUUUGUUCGAUAGAAUGAGAAAAAGUACUCGUCGUAAAGUUAUACUGUUAGGGCGCAACUGAGUAGUCUAAUGUUGUUCCAGUUUUUGUUCUUGUGAACGUUGACAUCGAUUCGUUCCAAAUUUACACUCUCUGGGCAUAAUAGAACAAUAUAAUUAGUUUUACGCUUUGUUCGAUAGAAUGAAAAAAAGUACUCAUUGCAAAGUUAUACUGUUUGGGCACAACUGAGUAUUAUAAUAUUGUUCCGGCUUUAGUUCUUGUGAACAUUGACAUCGAUUCGUUCCAAAUUUACACUAUUGGGGCGUAAUAGAGCAGUAUAAUUAGGUUUUACUGUUUGUUCGAUAGAAUGAGAAAAAGUACUCGCUGCAAAGUUAUACUGUUAGGGCGCAACUGAGUAGUAUAAUGUUGUUUACAUUUUGGUUCUUGUGAACGUUCACAUCGAUUCGUUCCAAAUUUACACUCUCGGGACAUAAUAAAAUAAUAUAAUUAGGUUUUACUCUUUGUUCGAUAGAAUGGGAAAAAGUACUCGUUGCAAAGUUAUACUGUUAAGGUGUCACGCCCCCGCCCCGAGACCGCUACCGAUUUGGUCCGGUUCGGGCGCGGCGAACGGACCGCCGAACGGACAGCAACUCUUCUGUCCGCCCAAGGCUCAAACAGCGAUAUCAUGUAUCCAAGUUCCCAGGAAAUACACUUGAUUACAUACAUGAUCAAACAUCAACAACGAUGCACAAACGGUGCUUAUCCACCAAGAGCAAGCAACACAUGUAAAGCAUACAAGUGAUAAAAGAGAGAUAUACUUAACUAUUAAAUUCAUUUGACUUUAUACAAUUAUUCCAUUCUUUACAUUCUUCCGAAACUUAUAUACAAUCACUUUCAAAACCUUACCCUAUACAACAUCUACUCUCAAACAUAGAUACUGUCACGCCCCGGGACCGCUACCAAUUUGGUCCGGUCCGGGCUCGUCGAACAGACGCCGAACGGACAGGACCUCCGCUGUUCGCCCAAGGCUAACCAACAGAUCAUGUAUAAGAAUUUACCCAGGAAUCAAUUCAUAGAUACACGAUCACAAGUAGCACCACCAGUGCUAACAAGACGAGAGCAAGAUACAAGUAUGGAAACAUAUACAAGUACAUAAAGAGAGAAGAUGCUAUCUAUUACAUUCAUUUGACUUAAUACAUUUAAUUACAUCUUUUACAUUCUUCCAAAAUAUAAAUACAAUCACUCAACCUCACCCUAUACAACAUCUACUCUCAAACAUAAUACAGGGUAAAGCUAAUGCAAAAGGUAGGUAGCUAAUGCAACUAGGGCGCUAGGCCCUUACCGCGAUCCUCGCGCUCGCCUGGGACACCCGAACUCGAACCUGUAAAAAGUGGGGUGAGAACUAUCUUCCAUAGUUCCCAGUGGGUUCGGCCGCUGACUCCGCCGGUCUCCCCACUAGGUCCAAGUGGGCGCAAGUAGAUACACAGAUAGAUAGAUAUAGAAAGCUGUAGAAACGAAUAGUAAAACUACUCUACUGUGCCCAAAUCAUGUAUAUGAUGAAUGCAUGCACAAAGAAAUAGAUAGUUUGACUAGCUCUUCAUAUGUCCAAAAGGUAAAGCUAUUUACUGGUUCGUCAAUCUCGUGGGUCACUUAAGGAUCUAUCCAUUACUCACCUAGCCGUCUCGAUCACUACACAUCCGAGACCGUCUGCGGGACCCCAAAUAGGCCAUCCCUCGGGACCCCAAGUAGGCCAUCCCUAUCCCACGGGACCCCAAAUAGGCCAUCCCUCGUGACUGACUCCGGAGCGCACUACUUGUGUGGAGCGACCACCACAAGUUGGGAGCAGACAAUGAGUAUGAUCCCAAUUCUCCCACCUCAAGGGUACCCUAUCCUCUAGGGUUGCUGUCACCAUGGUCAAUAGGUUCUAUGUACGCUACGACUCACAAUGCCACUCGUUCUUUGUUAAUUAAUAACUAGGUGCCACUCGUUCUUUUAUUUCAACUAUUUUCAUCACUACACUAUAGGAUUACAAAACUCGACCCAAUCCUUAUCAAUCCCCUAUAUCCAGUUACCAAUGCAUAAUACGAUAUCAGAUGGGAAAUCAUAAGGAAAGGCGAUGCACAAUCAUCCUACAAUGCAUAUGAACUCAGGAUGCAAAGUCUUAAAAUACUAAGACAUAAGAGGGAGCCCGAUUGCUUCGGGAUGGACACCACCCACCUCUUGGCGAUGCCGCGACGGUAGAAAACUCGACGCUGCGGUCCUUGCACGUCGCUUCAACUCCUCGGGGCGAAGCGAGCCCUCAAGUACUCGAUUCGGCGAUAACUCCGCACACGCUUGUUGGAUCGACGAACCGUCUCCGCUGACGCGUCUAAGGACCUAGCAAUUAGGUUUGCGACCCAUUAAAUUAGAUCAAAACCCUCGAUUUCCAAGAAUCCCAAAUCCGUGCCCUAGAAUGGCAACGAGGGAGAAAUCCGUAGUGCGAGCUUCGAUUGCGAGCGCGAACCAUCCAUUUAUCUCCUCUAGGUUCCAUUCGAACCAAUUCUAAGCAAUAAAACCCUAACCCAAGAAAUCUACCAUGGUAGGGUUGAGGCUUACCUCCACAUAAAGCCCCAAGCUUGAGAGAGGGAGAGAAGAAGAUAAUCUUCUUCUUCUUCUUUGUCUUCUCCUUCCUCUUCUUCUUCUUUUCCUUCCUUUUCUUCCUCUCCUUCUUCUCCUUCUUUUCUUUCUAGAGAGAGAGAGGGAAAGAGUGUGAGAGGGAGAGAGAGCAAAUGAGAGGGAGAAGAGGUCCCCCAGCCUCUAUUAAAGGCCAUUUUGCAGAUAGCCCCCUCAACUUUUCAUCUAUUAAACAGCUUUCACUGGGCUGAUUUCGCAGUGAGGGACCGGUCCCAGCUCGGGGAGACCGGUCCCCGAGAGCUCUCCAUCUCGGGCAGAAGGAUUUCGCGUUUGGGAACUAGUCCUUGCCUGAGAGACCGGUCCCCGGGAGACCGGUCCUUGUCCGAGAGACCGGUUCCCGAGAGUUAGGUUUUCGGGACUUAGCCAAAUUUCGGCUAUUUUUCGCUGGGCCAACGUUCGGGAACCGGUCCCUGCCUGCCAGGGACCGAUCUCAUCAGAGACCCUCGCAGACCCAGCCUGAUGGGACCGGUCCCUCCCUGCCAAGGACCCGUCCCCGAGAGCAUUUCUGCUCCAGUGCAGGUUUUGCACUGGUGCUCUCGUGGACCCUUCCUUAAUGCACUUUAUGCAUUAUAAUCAACUUCGAACUUUCCGAAGCCUAUACACUCGACAAACAGUCGAUCCCAAAGGAAGUCUAAUCCUCGAAUUCCGAGGAUUCACUUCCUUACAGAUACAGGGUAGAGCUAAUGCAAAAGAAAGUAGAGCUAGCUAUGCACAUGUACCACUAUGGCGCUAGGCCCUUGCCGCGAUCCUCUCCGGGGCUACUCGUACUCGGACCUGCAACAAAGUGGGAUGAGAACUACGAAUAGUUCCUAGUGGGUUCGGCCGCCGACUCCGCCGAUCUUCCCACUAGGUCUAAGCAGGCACAGAUAAAUAUGCAGAUAGAUAGAUAUAUAUAAUUGAAAGCAUAAACGAGGAAUAAGCAAGUAUAGGUAUGAGCAUCUAACUAUGCCUCAAUCUGGAAUCAUGCAUGCAUGUCAUUCAUACUGAAUUCGUAGCUACCAUACUACUAUACUGAACAAUAAGGGUUAUUCAUUACUUUACCCAAUCAUUCGAUCAAUCCAGCAACACAAUCUCAUGUUUAUAAGUCUCGUAGGGAAAAGCCUCGCUGAACUAUUCCCCGAGACUGCCUGCGGACAGAUACACUGACUGUCCAGGCAGCGCAUGGCGACUGCCCCUCAAGUGACAAAUACUCCGGAGUGCACAGCCUGUGGGGAGCGACCCCAACAAGCGCAGACAGGCUAUGUGAGUAUAAUCUGAACUCACGAACUAGUCCUACCUACUAAGGUUGGUGUCAACAUAGAAUCAAGCGUCCCAAUACCCAAGCUCAUAGUGUUUUGCUACACUAGGGUUCUCAUGUCAAUAUCAACUAGAUGCCACUCGUUUGCGUUCAUUGUUAACUAGAUGCCACUCGUUCUUUUGACAAGUUCUCAAUACUCUAGUCCACACUGUACUAGUUUUCCAUAGCUACAUGUACAUCCAACACAUAUAGGGUUAAACUGUAUCAUACUACCUCGAGCACACUAGGUUCUAGUGCUAUAUCAACUAAGCCACAUUAACACUAGUAUGCAAACACAGAUAUUAAUAACUUAGUUCCCUAUGCCAUAUGUUCAAUAUGCAACUGAUCAACAUAGUAACUCAGACAUAGGGAGCAGUUCAACUGCUUCGGGAUGGCACUCCCCCACCUUUUCGUAGUGCCGCGUAGUUCGCAAACUCGACGUCGCGGUUCUUGUGCGUCGCUUCAACUCCUCGGGGCAAAGCGAACCCUCAAGUAUCAGUUUUGGCGAUAUCUUCGCGCUCGCUCGUCGGAUCGACGAACCGUCUUCGCCUACGCGUUCAGAGACCUAGCAAUUAGGUUUACAACCUAUUAAACGAGAUCAAAACCCUAACUUUCCAAAAAUCCUCGUGCCCUAGAAUGACAACGAUGGAGAAAUCCGUGGCGCGAGCUUCCAUUUCGAGCUCGAGCCAUCUCCGUAACCUCAAUAGGUUCCAUUUGAACCAUUUCUAAGCUAUAAAACCCAAUCUCAAGAAAUCCACCAUGGAUGGGUUUGGAGCUUACCUCUUUACCAAGCUCCAAGCUUGCUCUAGCUUGAGGGAGAGAGAGAGAAGAAGAUGAUCUUCUCCUUCUUCUUUCUCUACUUCUUCUCUUCUUCUUUCCCUUCUUCUUCUUCCUCUCCUUAGUCCACUCCUUUUUUUCCUUCGUUCAAGAGAGAGAGAGGGAAAGAGUGUGAGAGGGAGAGAGCAAAUGAGAGGGAGAGAGGGUCCCCCAGCCUCUCUUAUAGGCCAAUUUGCAAAUAAGCCCCUCAACUUUCCAUCUAUUAAAUAGCCUCUCACUGGGCAUUUUCACAGUGAGGGACCGGUCCUUGCUCGGGGAGACCAGUCCCCGAGAACCUCCUAUUCUGGCAGAGGGGAUUUCGCUUCCGGGAACCAGUUCCUGCCUGAGAGACCGGUCCCCGGGAGUCCGGUCCUUGUCCGAGAGACCGGUUCCCGAGAGUUGGAUUUUCGAGACUUAGCCAAAUUUUGGCUUCUCUCGCAGGGUUAACGUUCGGGGACCGGUCCAUAUCCGCCAGAGACCGGUUGCAUCAAGGAUCCUCGCCAGCCCAGCCUGAUUGGACCGGUCCCCGAGAGCAAUUCUGCUCCAGUGCAGAUUUUGCACUGCUACUCUCGCGGACUGUUCCUUAACGAACUUUAUGCAUUUUAAUCACCUCCGGACUUUCCGAAGCUUAUACCCUCGACAAUUAGUCGAUUCUAGACGAAGUCUCAAACUCGGAUUUCGAGAAUUCACUUCCCUUACAUAGGCCGCAACUGAGUAGUCUAAUGUUGUUCCGGUUUUGGUUCUUGUGAACAUUGACAUCGAUUCGUUCCAAAUUUACACUCUCGGGACAUAAUAGAACAAUAUAAUUAUGUUUUACGCUUUGUUCGAUAGAAUGAGAAAAAGUACUCGUCGCAAAGUUAUACUAUUAGGGCGCAACUGAGUAGUCUAAUAUUGUUCCGGUUUUUGUUCUUGUGAACGUUGACAUCGAUUCGUUCCAAAUUUACACUCUCUGGGCAUAAUAGAACAAUAUAAUUAGGUUUUACUCUUUGUUCGAAAAAAUAAGAAAAAGUACUCAUUGCAAAGUUAUACUGUUAUGGCGCAACUGAGUAACCUAAUGUUGUUCCGGUUUUGGUUCUUGUGAACGUUGACAUAGAUUCAUUCCAAAUUUACACUCUCGGGGCAUAAUAGAACAAUAUAAUUAGGUUUUACUCUUU